rnacentral:lncRNA from 1 species
ACGGGGUAGGCUUCACUACGGCAGAUACACAGUGGCACGGUGUACCAAGUGGCACCCGAAUGGUGGGCUUGGGAACCCUGCGCGCAUCGUUUGGGGCCGUAGAGGAAACCUCGACCGGACUUCCUUGCGGGUUCAGUCUCAAAUAGGCGAUAAACCUGGACUGGGGUCUUGUGUGGUUAACGGUCGUGGCCAACACCCACGC